ACCAAUCAUCCAAAAGAAGGUUACUCAUUUAACUUGUCUUACACAUAAAUUUAUGCCAGCAACACAAACUAAAACUAACGAACAUUCAUAAUCCACAAUCCUACUAACAAUUCAUAGGGAAAUUAAUAACUAAGCUUCAAAAUCCAUCUGAGCCCAAAAUAGACACAUUGCCAGCAUGAGACUAAACCAACAAAUACAACUACUAGAUCACCAUCACAUAGUAUCCAAAUACACUCCUUUUCACCAUCUGCUUCCUAUUUUAGUUGUUACCUGCAUUUAAUUGUAACUACAUUAAAUUAGAAAUUUAUGUAUCAACAAUUCCUACUGAAUCAAAAUGAAAGAUCAAAGAAUAACAAAAUCAAAUACCUGCAUCCAAUAUAGUCACUGCUGCAUUCUAAAAAACAUCCCGAUGCCAUAAAAUAACAGAUUCAGUAAUUAUUCUACAUUUUAAUUUAAUCAAUUAAUAUGUUCACAAACGGUUUAUGAUAACUAAAAAAAAAACUUACUUACCACAUCAAUGUUACAGUCUUCAAUGUCAUUGGCAUAGUCUUCAUCAACAUGGUCUAUCAUUUCCAUCUCUUCAAGCUGGGAAUUCAAGCAUGCUUCUUCACGAAAUUGACAUGAUUUUUUGUUAUGUCCCUCAGCUCCGCAUACACCACACUUAUAUGUCUUUCUCUUAGGCUUAAAAGUGGCAGUCUGGGAUGAAGAUGUAGGUACUCN
rnacentral:lncRNA from 1 species